AUUUAAUAAGUCAAAUGCAGAGUAUCCAAGUACUCAUUUUGAUGUUCAAAGGAUAGCGUUGCUGAAUAACGGAACUGAUGAGGACCGCAAAACUAAGCAGAAUACUACAUUAUCGGACUCCAAUGAAAGAAUGUUUUUCGGAAUUAAGUAGACUUUUUUCAAAGCUUAUCUACUAAAAAUGCUGCUGCUUUUUCAUCUUUUGAGAAACAGAAAGAGUCGGCGUUCAAAGACAUUAUAUGACGACAUUCUGAUUUGGAAUAUUUUGAAGCAUCUUUCGAUUAGAAAUGGAAAAACUUUGUGAACAAAAACCGAAUCUCUUUGUAAUCAAAGAAUUGGAAAAAAUAAAAAAUUUUCUCUUGUUCA